AUGGGGAUAGUCUGUUUCCAAGUAGCAAAAGAUUGCAAUGACAUUCUCAACUCAUGGUCAAUGAACCUGGAGAAGCUGCUUGAUCUUGUUGAGAAGAGUUGCCAUCAAAUACACAAAGAAACCAUGGUACAUAAAGCUGCUCUCAAAGUUUGAAAGGUUGAUUUAGCAAUCUGUGUGCUGGUUGGCCUAGUUGGAGCUUUCCCUUUGUGGACUAGUGAAAAAAAA
rnacentral:misc_RNA from 1 species